AUUCACCAAAGUUAUACGAUAUCCAAAAUUUUUGAAGCAUAAAUUAAUAUAAAUAAACUAAUUACAUUUUUGUAUAUUGCAAACCAAAAAGUAGCGUAAAAAUUAAUGUAGCAAAAAAGAAAAUCAAGUGCAAUGUCUAGAGAUGUAAACGAAUCCAAUUGGAAGUUUCUCCGCGAAGAUCUUGUGAAAUAGAUAUUUCCUUUAGUUUAGUCGUUGUUUUAAGCGAUAAUAUGUGCAUCACGCCCAAAAAUUAAUAAAUUCUAUGGAAUCCUUCUGCGAAAAUAAAAAAAUUAAGUGCAAUGAGACAUGAAUGCCUUUACAAAAGUGAAAAAUAAAACAAAAAUGCAAAGUGAUGACUGAGAGCAAAAGAAUUCAAUUCGCAAGUGUAUGGUGGGCCUCUGUUCGUGUGUCUUCGUAUACAAUUGUGCGUGUCAUAUGGUUGUGCCACAUCUAAGCGACAUCUCUGAACGGCUAGUCCAGGCUGAAAGCACUAACACAGAGCCUGCUAGCUUAUAUGUUGCUAGAUAAAAAUGGUGCAUAAACAUUAAGGAACCCGAAACACAUUUUGUUGCAAUUAACUACCCAAGACACCAACCUAGAAAACUACAGGCCUGAUUGUGUUUCAACGAACGAAUCGAGUAAAUUGUUGGAAGUAAAGGAUUUCAAUUGAGUCAUAUCACAAGUUCAUUUCAUACACAUCUCUACUAAAAUAACAAGCAACGUUUUAAAGUCCAAUCAAAAAUAUAAACCCUCAGAAAAGGAUUGUCGAACGAAAAGGAGAAUACGAUAUAUGUGACAAAGAGAAGGAAGGAAAGGAGUGGAACAUUGUAUUUGUGGUCAAAGACUAAGCAACUUCUGGUGAUACAUACAACAUAUUUACAUACACUUACUACAACAAAGUUUUAUUUUAUAUUAAAACGCACAAAGGGAAUUUUGUUACUGUAAAUAUACGACUCGCGUCAAACACUCAACACCAGCACAAUCACCUGUCUUACAUACGACACGAAACGCAAAAACUUUUCCAAAAGAGGCCAACAAGCGGAAAGAAUUAUUAUCUAGCUUACAGUUAAAAAACAUAAUAUUAAAAAAUAUGACAUCAUAUGCCUCGUUACCGGACAAUGCGAGAACGCAUGAGGAUGGCUUUACAUCAAAUUCUAAUUCUACAACACCCUUGUCACCGCCUUCCGAACAGGAACUGGCUUCAGCCAUUGGUGCCAAGCAAUUGAGAACACCCCUGACACCGGACUCCUUCUCCGAAAGUGAACGGGAGAAAAUGGACUCUACGCCAGAAAAUAUAAAAAAGAUCGAUGAUGUCAUUAACGAGGGCGAUCAUCACCGUUCCCAACACCAGCGCCAGAAUAUGCCAUCAGCGGUGUGUUUUUCACCUCAAUCGGAACAAUACACACCAAGUUUUGUCCCAAUUGGACUAGCCGCGGCAGUAGAUGACUCAAAUGCUAAACUCUGUCUUGCCAAACCACCACCAUGCAUUAGUUCAAAAGAAAUGGUUACUAGCAAAAGCGGAACUGAGAGGAGCAGUGAAGACUGUGGCGGCAGCAGAGUUGAUAACCAAAAUGAUGAAGACGAGGAAAAGUAUAGUACGAAUUCAUCAAGGCACCACCACACAUCGAGUCGAACAGUGACGGCAGGUAACGAGGCACACGUCCCCCCGCAUGAUCAAGAGGAUAACGUUGAAUCAGUAUCAUCGUCAAACGGUGGCAACACAACAAUGACUACUUCUGCCAAACAGUCGUUGGCCUUUACAAUUGACAAUUUUAAUGAUAAGGAAUGUGAUGCUGCCGCCCAGGCAGCCAAAUACAAGAGUAUGAUGGAGCGAUUUCAAAAUCGACAUCGUCGUGGUGCCUCCAUGUCUAAAUUAGAAAAUGAUGAGUCGGGCAAGGCCGAAACACCUACACGUCUAACAAGUUCUCAGUCUUCUACGCCAUUGACAACAAACCGUCCGUCGGCCCGUAACUCAAUGGCAAGCAGCGAGGAGUACAAUGCAACUUCCAUGGAUUCGGAAACGUCAGUAACACAAAAGGUUAAAAUGCGUGCUCGCGACCGUAGCACAUCACGAGUGCGUGAUGCUUCAAAACGUCAUAGUUGGUCACCACGUUCAAGCACAAAUGAGGACAGCCCGCAAACUCCACAGUUGAAGUCAUCGGCAGUGACAACAACUACUCCAUCAGCACUUCCACGCAAGACUACGAAAGCAACAAGCAAACCAGCACCAGCGCAAGUCCCCAAAGGAACAUCCAAUAUGGUGGCAAACCGUACGCAAUUUACCCCAAGAUCCACGGCCAUGCAAUUGGCACUCAAACAAGUCGAUUUUAUGUGUCCCCAGCCGCCGCUGGCCGACUUUAAACAUCUCAAUGCUGAUGCCGACGCCGAUGAUGUCAGUGAGGCGGGCACAUAUACCUUAGAUGGAGAUAACUACACAGAAGAGCAAAAGGAUAUCAUGAAUAUAGAUAAGUAUGGCCAAAUCAUAACGGAGUCUGCGCGAAGAAUCAAAUCCCGUUCUAAACAGUUGAGUGAUGUCACUCCAACGCCAAAACAACGAUCGUCCAUGGAAUCGAAGAGGUCAAACAAUGUAUUGGAAGUCAAUUACUACCAUGGAUCUGAAGAGCCUCAACAACUGGCCAGGCCACGCACUAGUACAGCAGCAUCGGAUUUGAUAAUGGGCUCCCAUCAGUCAGCUGGAGCCUAUCUGGAAAAGAUAAAAUUAAGGGUUUUGCGCAACAUGAAUGCUACAAAACAAAUUGAUAGUAAACAGGAAAUGUUAAAAUCAAAAUUACCCAAUGAAGAUGAUGACAAUGAGGCCGAUACCGGAUGUUUUACCAGUGUAACAACCAGUGGUGUUCUGGCGAAGCAGCGAACCCUUGAUGUCCGUCCAAAACUUUCGAGGCAUAGUGGUUUAUCGACAUCGCAAAUUGAUAGUUCCGAGUAUGUAAGCAACGAAACUAAACUGAAAACCUCAGGUACGCCGCCAUCAUUUGCAAGUGGCUUUACUGAUCACCAAAAGGCCGAAUAUAGACUUAAUGUCUUUACAAAUCAGAAGGAGGCUUCGCAGAAGUUUGCAGCAACAAGAAAUUUUAUAGAAACCCCUCCAGAGACACCAACAGGACUUCAGCCGGCGUCAAAGUUAAGCGAAGUAGCGGUUUUACAAACAGCUCAAACAAAGCAUGAUUGGAUUCAAGAGUGGGCUCGCAAUGCCCGUGCGCGUAGUUUGGCAAGUGAUAGGCACAGUACUAGUUCCAGGCAAGCGAAUAACGAUAUGUUAAUGACAAGAUCGUACACUUGUGCCGAUACUGGAAAUGAUUCCAUGACAGAUGAUAGCCUCUACAGUGCGAACUGUAAACAAUUUAAUUCUAAACUAAACAGAACUUUGGCUGAGCGAUACCGUUUGUCAGGCGGUAAUGGCGAUUGUGAUUAUACCAGUGACCCUUCAUUGUCUAGUUCAUGUACUAAGCCACCGAAGAGCCCAACAAAGAUACCUUCGCCCCUUCAUACAUUGGGGAGAACACGUAGUGCGAGCCGCACAAGAUCAUCGUUACAGAACGUUAUGGCGCCCGAAGAGGAGGAUUAUCUCCAGCAAACAGCAGCUGCCAUCAAUAAUUUGCAACAGAAUUUGUCCCGCAAAAAUUCAAUCAAGUCACCCUCACAUUCAGCUUCCCCGAGGGCUCAUUCAGCCCGUUCACAUAUCAUGUAUUCACCUGAGGGCACUGGGGUCGACUGCAGUCCACAGCACGGUUUGAACUCACAACGUCAGCAACGUCAAGCCGCACAGAAUCUUAUGACGAGCAGUAUUAACGAGCAGCAAUUGCAGUUGUUGACCAGUGGCGAAUAUUUGCUGAGGCAAAUGCGGAUGCGAAAAAAUUCUUUUGAUGGUAACUUAGGUGUCAACGGUUCUCCCCAUCGAAGAGUACUGCAGGCAGGUGUCCCACCACAAGUCCAGUCGCCUACCACACCAACGGCAGCCUCAAACGAAGAAUCGCUAUCGCCUUUAAGAAGAUCGAGCUCAUUCUCCGCUCGAGUUGCAGCCACUCAAAGAUCCGGCCGUCCUAACUUUCAGAACCUGUAUACUCCUCCGGCGGCACGUCACAGUUAUGGUCUAAACCUUGCGCCACCACCACAGUCAUCUAUGCAGUCCGCAGGACAUCCCAUCAAGAAAUCGGCCAGUAGCAAUAAUUUCGGUCAGGCCUAUAGUGAUUAUGACGAAAACUUGCAGUAUUAUAUAAACGACGAAGAUGAUCAGGAUGACUUGGUCGAAGAAUAUUAUUCGAGUGGUGGAGACGAUAACGGUGAGCCGGGUUACUACGAGAAUGCCGAAACAGAAAACAGCGUUCCUCUAUCCAACACUAGGUAUAAUAAAGCCUUGCUCAUGCGAAUAGAACGCAGCAAGCAAAAGGUCUCAGCCAAACCCCAAUCGGCACCACCCACAAAAGCGGCUAUGCUAAUAGCUGGUGGUGGGGUAAUGGCUUGCCCCAAUACUCCAGAAUUGCCGCGGAGAAAUGUUAAAAGCGCCACUACCCGUUCUAGUGUCACAUCACAACGCCAGUCCAUGCCUCGGGACACUAGUCUAAGUCGGCUUGCCCAACAGGUACCGAACUCAUUGGCCUCAGCCAAAAAACAACUACUACAAACUGCUGCCAAUGUACCAUCCACUGCUGCUGCAACACAACGUUCUACUUCUAGUCAACGGGCCACGCCACGCUAUUUAGAUAUAUCGAAAUACAAGCCCGCCCAAAGUAACCAGUUUUUACGUAAAAAUGAUGCCAAAAGUACCCUUAAGCCUCAAAACAAUUCAAAUGAAAUUAUGAAACGUAGUCCCAGUAGUUCGUCAAUGGGCCUUUCACGAACGGAUCCCUCUCGAACGAGCAAUCGCUCGGUACGGUCGGCCAGCUCAGCUAUGACCAGCAGUGCCACCUCCCUUGGUGGUGGUACUGGAAGAGCUUCUUCUGCGGUUAGAAGAGAUGCCUCAGUAUCUAAACAAAAAGAAGCUGAAAUGGCAAUGUGGAAACGUCGUUCCAAAUACGAUCCUAUGAAGGCAGCCGCCGAAGAUCGCCGCAAGAAGGAAGAAGCCAAGCGUUUAGCUCAGACGCAGCAAUUAGGUGUUGUUGGUGCUAUGCCAACGGAGAGACAAUCGAGAUCUCUCUAUCGCCGCGGGCAAUUAUGACCAGAGGGAUUACUGGUGACAGAUCUCUAAGCGGAUCGCAUCAGAUCUGUAACGAAGAUAUUAAACAACUUUUCUAGAAAAUAAUUUAAAAAAAAAAAAUAUGUAAACAUUUGCUGCUAUGCCUUUUUUGAGAAACGACAACAAACGACAUUGAAAAUUAAUAGACUGUACUAACAACGAAAAGAAAACUAUUAUUUUUACAAGCAGCCAUAUAAUUUGUUAUAAACACACACACACACACAAACACACGUGAAAACGAACUGCUUAUCGAAACGGGGAUUGUAACACUAAAUGCUUAAACAAAAUAUAAAUAAUGCAUACCAAAGUCAACUGAAGUCAAUGCAAACGGUUCCGGUUUAGUGUUGUACUAAUUAACCGCCAUACUUUUUUCUAACCACACAAUAAAGUAAAUAAAACAAUUCAAUCAAAUCAUAUUUAUUAUUAUGUAACGUUUACGAAGGCAAAGUGCAAUUACAACAUAAUUAAUUUAUUCGAUUUAACAUCAGAACGACUACGACGUACGCUAAACAACAACCCUGCUACUAUCCAAUACUUAGUAGUGCCCUUUUAAGCUCUACGUACCGAAUAUAAAACGAACGAUCUUUAGAACAACAAUGGUCCAUUGAAGAGUCUGGAGAUUUUGACGAAGACGACUGUGUCUAAACCUUGGUCCACAACAACAACAAAUUACUGCAAAUUUUUAUUUUUAACAUGCUUUAAAUUGGAUGUGAACGAAGAAAAAAACUUUAUUUUUUUCAAGAUAGAAACCAGAAACAAACAUACAACGUGAUAUAGCUUACAUUAAUGAAGAAAUGAAAUGAAAUAUUUAUGAAUAAAUUCUAGCAAGACGUUUGAAUGUUUCACAACAUAAUUUAUUGAGAUUUCUUUUCUAACAAAAAACGAAACGAAACAUUAACGUUUUGUUUUUAAAGAAAACAACUACUGUCCUACUCUACUGUUACUACUUAUAAAGAAACAUGAAAUAACAAACUGCAAUACUACUGAUGAAUUGUAAUCCAUAGCAUGUAGUUUUUUUUUUGUAAAAUUUUAGUUACAUCACUCUGUAUAUUUUUAUAUGAAUAUUGAAAAUUGUUAUAUUAACAUUUAGGGGUCGAUUAUGGAUGGCAACUCAACUAUAAUUACAUUGCCAGAAGGUAAUAUCAUACAAUAAAAAUUAGAAUGAUGCUGAAAAGUUUUGUCAGUUUCAUGCAACAGUAGUGUUUUGAACGUUCAGCAUCUAAGAAAAUUGUAAAAAGUAUGCAAUUCAAUGCAGAAAUGGACCUUUCUAUAAGAAAUUUGCCUGUUAGCACCUCAACUGAAGUUGGGUUGCAAUCCAUUAUCGAGUUGUAAAUGUCACUUUCGUUCAUGGCAACAACAUGAAGAGAAGCUUGCAAAUGGCAAGUCGGAUCAGUUCUCCUCGAGUAAUUGAGUGCGAUUAUCACUUAAUUUUGUAUUUUGAAAAUUUCUCAAAAUCAUCCUCCUCCGUUUAUAGCAAUGCUUUAAUUAUCGAUAUAUGAUACUAUCAUUAUAUACAUACAUACAUAAAAACCGCAACAUUUUAGCUCGUAAUCAAAUCUAAUUACAUUGCUUAGAUAUAUUUUUUUUAAAGAACGGAGAUAUUUCAUAUUUGUUAACAAUAUCGUACUGUUGGAAAUUGCAGUGCCGAAGAAGCUUCUGCUUCCUCAUAGAAAGAGAGAGCAACCUCCCUAAUAAUGUUGUGAAAUUAAUUAUAAUUUAGAUUUAUAUUAGUUAUUCUAAAAUAAAUAAAAUUUACCAAUUUAACAAUAAAUGGUACUAAUACUCAACAAAGAAAUAAAACAAAGUAAUUUAACUGUAAUACAAAACACCAACAACAAUACUCCUCAAACAAGAUAUUACUUAAUAUACGCAAAAUAUGCAAAUAUGUAUUAUUUAACCAUCGCAAAAUGGAAAAACAUGUAUCGAACCGAACGAACAAGAGGACUUAAACCAGGAAAUAAAGUUAUGGAAUUGCAAGUAUGUUUUUUAGCCUUCCUAGAAUGUUGGUAUGAGUGACUGGCCUUUUCUUGUAAUCAUUGGCAAACAUAAGAUUUUUUUUUUUGUUUUAUAGGAGGUCGAGAAAGCUGCAGAUAAAAUCAACUGAAUAAAUUGUAGUAGAAAUUUAUUGAAUUGGUGAUUUAUUCUUUAAAUAUAAAUAAACGAGACUAUAAUGAA